rnacentral:lncRNA from 1 species
UUCAACAUACUAAACACCACUAAUACAUAUGUUUUUGUUCUUUUUACAGGUGUUGAGGAAAAAAGCCCAGAGUUUCAAGAACCUCGGGAUUUGAGGUCAAAUCCUUUUCAAGGGGGAGGGAAUGAUGCAAUCCUACCCCAUAAGGGCAUUGGAUAGAAAACUCCAAGUAGAUUGGGUCAGAGAUGCAAUAGAAGGCCCUAGGGUUCUUAUGAGCCUUAGGGUAGAUUUCGGGCCCAUGGGCUAAGUACGAGUCCACUUAUCUUUGUAAAUAUUAGAUUAAGGUUUCAUUAUUUUUGGGCCUUGUAUUUAGGACUCCAUAAUGUAGGUAGGGUACCCUAGAAAUAUAGAAUUUUUUAGCCCUUGUAUUUUAGGGCACCUAGACUAGUUUUUGUAUUAGGGGUAGUUUUGUAAUUUGACAUGCACUAAGUGAAUAUUUGAUGUGUGUUGGGAAAUAAAUUUAAUUGAAUUGGUAGAAGCCUAAUCCAAUUAAAUUUUAGAGGGGGAGGUGAGCAUUUUCUUACUACACCCCAUUGCCACAUCAUAUAGUCACACUUUGUGCAUGUCCUUCAUGCUUUACAUGCCUCAUGACACCUAAGCACACUUAGUGGAGAAUCUUAGAAUUGAUCUUGGAUUAGUGGGCUGAAUCAUAA